GAUGAACGCUGGCGGCAUGCUUAACACAUGCAAGUAGGACGGAAAGUGUUGUUUCCAGUUGCGUACGGGUGAGUCACGCGUAAGCACCUGCCCUUGGGAGGGGAACAUCAGCUGGAAACGACUGCUAAUACACCGUAGGCAGAGGAGCAAAAGACGGAAUCCGCCUGAGGAUGGGCUUGCGUCUGAUUAGCUAGUUGGUGAGGCAAUAGCUUACCGAGGCGAUGAUCGUACGCUGGUGUGAGAGGAUGAUCAGCCACACUGGGACUGAGACACGGCCCAGGCUCCUACGGGAGGGGGCGGUAGGGAAACUGCCGCAAUGGGCGAGAGCCUGACGGGGCAAUGGCGCGUGGAGGUAGAAUGCACACGGGUAGUGAACUGCUGUGCGCGGAGAAGAAGCAAUGACGGUAUCUGAGGAAUAAGCAACGGCUAACUAUGUG
rnacentral:rRNA from 1 species